rnacentral:rRNA from 1 species
CCUACGGGAGGCAGCAGUAAGGAAUAUUGGUCAAUGGGCGGAAGCCUGAACCAGCCAUGCCGCGUGCAGGAAGACGGCCCUACGGGUUGUAAACUGCUUUUGUACGGGAAUAAACCUCGAUACGUGUAUCGAGCUGAAUGUACUGUAAGAAUAAGGAUCGGCUAACUCCGUGCCAGCAGCCGCGGUAAU